GUAGUAGUGUAUACUGCGUCAACAUGUCGGAGUGUCUCAACUAUUAUAUUUUAUAACAAAAUCUAAUAUAUAGAAUAUUGUUGAAAUGAAAUUAUUGUUCUUAUAUAUAAAUACGAAGAAUUGUAACAUUUUAAAUUUAUUUGGGUAAUACUUAUUGCAACUAAUCAUUACUAUAUGUUAUAUUUGUCGUUAUCAGUUGAGUAUUUUAAUGAAAAAUUUACUCCAAGUUUUCUGUGUAUAAUAAUAAAUAAUAAACAAUAGGUGAUUCAGGAGAGUAGUGAAAUUUCUAUUUAUCAAAAUUUAGUACCUCCACUGUUUGGUUGAAUAUACACUCCGUUUUGAAAACUGCACCAAGACUUGGUAUUCAUUUUUUUCCGUGUCUUCGGUUUUAAGUUAAAAGUCGAAUUUUAUUUCAAGUAAUUAAUUAAAAUAUCGAUUAUUACUUCUGUAGGCGUAAUUAAGGCAUGGGGGAUUGUAAUUUGGAUCUGUACAAUCAAAAAGAAAAGUUUUCUUAUACGCCGUGGUGUUCAAUGUGUGAAAAAGGACCUCAAAGGAGACGUUCUAUUAGCGAAACUAAUGAACCUUGUCGAAGAAAAAGUAAAGAAUUGAAAACCCUAACUCCAAAAAAGUACAAUCGUAGUCAAGAGUAUGAAAAUAUGGAAUUUGAAUAUGAAUUAAAAGGCCAAUGGCAAGAAAAAGACAUGAGGUAUGAAUUCUCUAGGAUUAGAUCAAACCUGUGUGAGCUACCUACAAGCUAUAUAUCAAAUAAUUGUCAACUUUCAAAUAAUUUGACAGGUCUUCCAAAAUUGUCUAAUGAGCCAACUGGUUUUGACUGUUUCAAAGGUGCUGGUGCUUAUGAGACUGCAGGAAAAUUUGUAGAUAUCAAUGAUCAAAUAGAAAAUUUAGGUAACAUGCAAAGUAAAACAAAAACCAAAUUAGAGCCAAUAAAGCUUAGUAAGAUAGAAAUUCCCUCAGGUCAACGGAAACGAGAAGUGAGGAGCCCUGAUAAAUUCUGCAAUUUUUACCAGUACAAUUUAAAUUCUAGACAACAUCUACAAAGCAAAAGUGAUAUUUUAGAAAAAUACCCUGCCCCCCCGCAAAAAUCGAAGACUAAUCCGUCUACAUCCCCAUUUUGUAAUGAAUAUUGUAUGUACACUAAUUUCAAGAUGCACACGUUAAGCAGUCAGACACCAGUAUGUUUUGACACCAGUACUUAUUUUAACAGAAGAAACGACACCAUUCCAGACAAAUACAAUAGAGAAAUUCAAGAUUUAAGAGAAAAAUUACUAUCAUUAAAAAGUAAUUGUUAUAAUUACAGAUGCGAAACUGCAUUAAUAGAAAGUUCAGAAGGAAAUCCUAGCCCUAGUAAGGGUGGUAUAAACACUAUAAAAACCAGAUCUGAACUAACUAAUGCUCAAAGUACAGCUACCAUUGAUAAACAUGAAAUGAAAGCAGUAACUGAUAUAAAUUUAUGCAAAAGUAUCCAGAAAGAAACUCCCAAGUCACUUCAGUUGCAGUGUGAAGUGGAUCAUUCGGUACCUCCUUCUACUCCUGGACUUAAAACCAAUAGGAGCAAAGUUUCUUUGAAAACUAGAAUUAAAGUGAAUAAUCAUAAAAUGAAAAAAGGAAAAUCAAAGACUUUGCAUACGUUGCCUGCAAUAGCUGAUGAUACAAACAGUGAUUGUAGUGGCUCUGAUAGUGAAAACGAAACAAAUAUAGAUGAUAUUGAUAACUUAGAAGAUGGUAAAAAUGAAGAUUCAUCUGAGAGUUGCUUGUCUCUAAAUGAAAAUGAAACUGGUUCUGGUGAUGCAGUAAACUGGCCCCUCAGACCAAGUCUCUUUCCAAACAUUCCGCCGUACAUUAAAUUCAGAAUGUUCAGUUCCGAAGUAGAAGUAAAAAUUCCGAACGCCAAAAAAUUCUUCAAAUGGAAACUUAGUACAAUAACCCCGAUGAUAGUUAGAAAAACAUUAACAAAUACCGGUUUCGUACUAGUGCGAAGUGAGUUUUCAAGAGAAUCAAAUCAAUGGUUAGGUACGUGGGGUAAACACAUGAAAUCCCCAAUGUUUAAGACAUUAAAGGAAACUCAAAAGCUGAAUCAUUUUCCCGGUACAUUUCAAUUAGGGAGAAAAGAUAGACUUUGGAGGAAUUUUCAACGAAUGAUAUUGAAAUUUGGAGUAAAAGAAUUUGGUUUUUUACCUCAUACGUACAUUCUACCUCAAGAGUUGAAAUUAUUGAAACAAUGUUGGGAAUAUAAGAAUGGAAAUGGUGGCGAAAUGUGGAUUAUAAAACCGCCGGCUUCUGCAAGAGGGGUUGGUAUAAAAGUGAUAAACAAAUGGUCUCAGCUUCCGAAAAAAUCGUCUUUAAUAGUUCAAAAAUACAUUUCCAAUCCUUAUCUAAUAAAUGAUAGUAAAUUCGAUCUAAGACUGUACGUACUAGUUACUAGUUUCAAUCCUUUAAUUAUUUAUAUGUACAAAGAAGGAUUGGCGAGAUUUGCUAGUGCAAAAUAUAGUAGCAAUGCCAAAGAUCUAAAAGACAGGUAUAUGCAUCUAACUAAUUAUAGUAUCAAUAAAUUUUCCAGUCAAUAUACUGCCAAUGAAGAUGCGAACUCCUGUCAAGGACACAAAUGGACAAUCUCCAAAUUAAUGGAAUAUUUACAAGAUUACAACGUAGAUACGAAAGCGUUAUGGAAAAAUUUACAACAAUUAGUGAUAAAGACUAUAAUAGCUUGCGAAUCACCUGUCGUGGAAUUAUGUGAAGAAAAUAUAAAUAGCAGAUAUAAUUGCUACGAAUUAUUUGGAAUCGAUAUACUCUUGGAUGAUAAUUUUAAACCGUGGCUUCUAGAGGUGAAUAUAUCACCGAGUCUUCACAGCGCUUCGCCAUUAGACGCUUACGUCAAAGGUCCUUUGGUUCAAUCGAUAUUCGAUAUGGCUCAAUUCCAUUUACCGUCCAGGAUACGUAGUCAAAAAUAUGAAGAUAUGCCAGAAGGUUUUGAUACUAGAUUCUAUUCCACCGCCUUAACGAAAAAGGAAAAAAAUAAACAUUCUUUAUUCGAACAGCUAGAAAGUAGGGAUGAGUAUCUCGUAGACAUUCUCAGGACGUUAACUGGAGACGAUGUGAGGCAUUUGGCAAGGGCAGAAGAUGAAUUACAAGUGACAGGAAACUUUGAAAGGAUAUUUCCGACGCCCACAUCUCAUAAAUAUCUACACUACUUGGCUCCAAGAUACUAUAAUAGGUUGUUCGAUGCUUGGGAAGAGAGGUACGGUCACCAGAGGGAAACAGGUAUUGCUGUAUUAAGGAACCUUUGUAACCAAAGAAUUCACUUGAAAGUACCUCUAAAUAGUACGUUGAUCAAGAAACAAAAAAUGUUUUUAUUUCAAUAGAAUUUGCCGAAUACGACCCAUUUGGAUACGAAGGUACAACCAUUCAAGUUGGAACGCCCCAAUCCUCCCCUAGAAGAUAUAAUGAGUCAAGCAACAAUCAAUAGUACAAUAUCGACUGCCGUUUAGUAUCUUUAUAAGGAAAAUAUAAAAUUUCAUAACGACUGCCAUUAAUUCAAGUUGAUAUUUUGUUGUGGUUGUUAUUUAUAAAUUUCAUGUAUUGUGUCUAUGAUUAAAUUUUCGUAUAAUUAUUAUUUUGCAUUAAAUGUAUUAUUUCAUUUUUGCCAUUGUCUUAAGUUAUUUGUAUUAUUUAAAUCAAUAAAAGAAUUCAAAAAAUACACACUA